rnacentral:rRNA from 1 species
CCUACGGGAGGCAGCAGUGGGGAAUUUUCCGCAAUGGGCGAAAGCCUGACGGAGCAACGCCGCGUGAGGGAUGAAGGCCUCUGGGCUGUAAACCUCUUUUAUCAAGGAAGAAGAUCUGACGGUACUUGAUGAAUAAGCCACGGCUAAUUCCGUGCCAGCAGCCGCGGUAAUACGGGAGUGGCAAGCGUUAUCCGGAAUUAUUGGGCGUAAAGCGUCCGCAGGCGGCCCUUCAAGUCUGCUGUUAAAAAGUGGAGCUUAACUCCAUCAUGGCAGUGGAAACUGUUGGGCUUGAGUGUGGUAGGGGCAGAGGGAAUUCCCGGUGUAGCGGUGAAAUGCGUAGAUAUCGGGAAGAACACCAGUGGCGAAGGCGCUCUGCUGGGCCAUCACUGACGCUCAUGGACGAAAGCGUGGGUAGCGAACAGGAUUAGAUACCCUGGUAGUCCACGCCGUAAACGAUGGUCACUAGCUGUUUGAUGCACAUUGGUGUGUUGAGUGGCUAAGCGAAAGUGAUAAGUGACCCACCUGGGGAGUACGCUCGCAAGAGUGAAACUCAAAGGAAUUGACGG